rnacentral:misc_RNA from 1 species
UCAGCAUGACAUGGAGAACAUGUAUAUGUGGGUUUUCAAGGAAAGGCCUGAAAAUGCCUUGGGUAAGAUGCAGUUGAGGAGUUACAUGAAUGGGCACUCUCGUCAAGGGGAGCGCCCAUUUCCAUUCAUUGUUGAUAAGGGUUUUGUUCGGUCUCACAGGAUGCAGAGGAAGCAUUACAGGGGUCUCUCUAAUCCUCAAUGUAUUCAUGGUAUAGAAAUUGUGAGGUCACCCAAUCUCAUGAAUCUUGACGAAGAAGAGAGGAAGAGGUGGGUGGAUCUUACAGGCCGAGACAUAAAUUUCACAAUUCCUCCUGAAGCAAGUGAUUUUGUUUCCUGGAGGAACCUUCCAAACACAGACUUCGAGCUUGAGCGCGCCCUUCAUCCAUUAAAGAGUAAUGGAAAUUCACACCCAAGAAAAUUGCUUAAUGGUGCUGGUUUGAAUCUGUCUACUCAAUCAUCAGACCAUAGCAAUGGUGAGAGCAUGGACCUUUCUCCUGUCUCCCACAAGCGGAAAAAAGAUUAUUUGCCACGUGGAAAUCAUGAUGAAUGUUUGGGUAACAAUUCACAUGGUGACAGAGUUGACAUGAAUAUCCAUCCAGUUGAGCCAGCAUGGAUAAAUGAAUUCAGCGGGGUAAUGAAGAAUGUAUAUGGGCCUGUUACAGCAGCAAAAACAAUAUAUGAAGAUGAUGAAGCAUUCUUAAUCAUCAUCAGCCUGCCCUUUGCAGAUCUUCAGAGGGUGAAAGUCACUUGGAGGAACACUAAAUUACAUGGAAUUGUGAAGAUAUCUUGUGUAAGUACAGCCUGCAUGCCAUUUAUUAAGAGACAUGAUAGGACAUUUAAGCUAACAGAUCCAACACCAGAGCACUGCCCUCCAGGGGAAUUUAUUAGGGAAAUUCCCCUUCCAAACCGCAUUCCUGAAGAUGCUGAACUGGAAGCAUACCGCGAUGAGACAGGUACAAUGCUUGAAAUUAUUGUCCCCAAAUAUCGUGUAGGACCAGAAGAACAUGAAGUCCGUGUAUGCCUUCGCCCCCUCCUCGGAGGGAAUGGGCAUUUGUCGACCUGAAAGGGUAAUUUAUUUGAAGAUGUAAGGACGGUUAGAGUGGUUAGUGCUUCAUUGUUUACUAACCUCAUUCCAUAAAGGAAAUCUAUGAAAUGAUGAUAUUUGCAUUUUUUUUUUUUGGAUUACAUUGUUUUUGUCCAUACAUUUAUCCGUAGGUUAUGUGUUUGUAAAUCAUCUUUAGUCUUCAUUAGGUGAAUUAUUCUUGCCAAGGGAAAACAAUAAUUUUUUUUUUCUAGAGAAAAAGGAAUAUAAAUUUGCAUUGACUUGAAUGUGCACUGGAUAUCUUAAGGCAUGUUUAAUCAUUCAGUUAUUUGGAGUUAUGUAAAUGAUGGGGUAUUGACUUGUUAAAUUAAAUUUUGCCUUUGAUGAAGAUGCCAUUUGCUAGUGGUAUCAACUAGUAUUUUAGACAAUGUAGAUAUAAUUGUUGUACAAGUAAAGCUGCAUGUUUUAUUGAUCACCUACCCUUAUUUUUGGUUAAAUCAUGUAUGAUUAGG